UCAUCCCCUUGAACUCUCACCCGAUUGAAGCGGGCAUUUCAGUUAGUAACAAAGGAGUUGGUGAGUCAAGAUUCGCGAGUCUGACAUUCCAGUCGGGUUUUGCUAUAUCCGCCGAUACCGCCAGCUUCCUAUUUUGCGACGGGUAGCACGGUGGAUGUCCAGCUUUCUGUGAAUGCCGAGAGCAUCUGGUGAAUUAACUCCAUCGGUGAAUUUGGGUGGAAGCCCACUGUACGUUUGGGUGGAAGCCCAUGUACAUUCUGUCAGUUCGGCAUGGGAUUCCGGU
rnacentral:lncRNA from 1 species